UACAGAGGGGGCAAGCGUUGUUCGGAAUUACUGGGCGUAAAGGGCGCGUAGGCGGCCGCCUAAGUCAGACGUGAAAUCCCUCGGCUUAACCGGGGAACUGCGUCCGAUACUGGAUGGCUAGAGUUCGGGAGAGGGAUGCGGAAUUCCAGGUGUAGCGGUGAAAUGCGUAGAUAUCUGGAGGAACACCGGUGGCGAAGGCGGCAUCCUGGACCAACACUGACACUGAGGAGCGAAAGCCAGGGGAGCAAACGGG
rnacentral:rRNA from 1 species